AUCACAUCUGUUACAUAUUCACAUUUUGGAACGAUACAGAGAAGAUUAGCAUGGCCCGUGCACAAUAGACUCAUUUGACUCUUAUUACAAUAUUAUUUUU
rnacentral:snRNA from 1 species